GUGCUUGCUUCGACAGCACAUAUACUAUAAUUGGAACAAUACAGAAAAGAUUUGCAUGGCAUGGCCCCUGUGCAAGGAAGACAUGCAAAUUUGUGAAGCAUUUCACAUUUUU
ensembl:snRNA U6 U6 spliceosomal RNA